rnacentral:rRNA from 1 species
UACGUAGGGGGCUAGCGUUGUCCGGAAUCAUUGGGCGUAAAGCGCACGUAGGCGGCUUUCUAAGUCAGGGGUGAAAUCCUGGAGCUCAACUCCAGAACUGCCUUUGAUACUGGAGAGCUCGAGUCCGGAAGAGGUGAGUGGAACUCCGAGUGUAGAGGUGAAAUUCGUAGAUAUUCGGAAGAACACCAGUGGCGAAGGCGGCUCACUGGUCCGGUACUGACGCUGAUGUGCGAAAGCGUGGGGAGCAAACAGG